GGGAGGCUGAGCAAACAGCGAGGAUGUCAACAACAUCCUGUCCUUGCAGAGAGGAGAACGGCUUUUGAAGGAAUGACAGAGCUUUGGAUCUCAGCUCCCCGAGGCAAGUUCAGCAAAGUGCCUGACACCUCUUUGAAAAGAAAUAGCAGAUUUCCUCCCCACUCUGGGAUUCAGCACAGGCUGCACUUUACAAGCUGCAAGCAAAGCAGGUUUCCUUCGAGUCGUCGUGGUGUCAGACGAUGCAAUGUAUUAUUA
ensembl:lncRNA